UAAAUCCUUCCUGUACUA
rnacentral:tRNA from 2 species